GGCUCACUAAAUCCCUCCUCUUUCAACUGCAAAUGGAACAUUUGUCCUGGAUACAAAAACCAAGUAAAGUUGGUGAGGUUAUCGCACACAAGCUUCUGGCAAAACGCGUCUUUACGGCUUGUAAUUCUGGAGAAUUACCUAUUUGGAUAAAAGGAAUAUUUAUAGAUGAUCAGCCAUGUACCGGUUAUGGUUUUAGUGUAGCUGAUUGUUCGUCGUUUGAGUUAAAAACGAACGGUACACCUAGGAUUGAAAUUGCUUUCCAGCCGGAUUUCACUGUUACACGUAUUCCGAAACCGUUUAUUUUGAAAACCAAUUCGUUUGGAUUUGAUUACGGCCUUCUGGCACAAUUGCGGAACAAAGGCUUGGACUAACGUUGUAUUGCCUUGUUGCCUUGUCCUUUUUGGGAAUCACGUGUACGUAAUGCAGCAAUCGUAGUUUUAUCCAUAAUGUUUGCCUUAUCCUUGGUGCUUGUCGCCGGCAACUUUAACAGACGAAUUUCUUUGGCCCGGGAUAAAGCAGCAACCUUUUAAUUUGCGCAAUAUACAAUGCGUUCCCAUCCGUCUACUGAAACGUCUGGAAUAGAGGCUUUUACUGGUAAAACUAAAGAGAAGUCUAAUAGUGACGGUAAUGGAAACAACGGUUUAAAGAAACGGAACGCUAUGCGAAGAUACAUGUUCCCAGUUUAAUCUCAUAUUUUGGAAUGUUGUUACAAAGAAUAAAAUUCUAUCUCGUGUAACGAAACUGAAGUAUACAUAACAAAAAGAUGAUUCAUUGGGCUGUGCAGAACAGGUUCAAGCACAAAGUUCUUUACACGAGCUUUAAGAAAGCUAAUGAUUGACUUUGCGUCCUCUCGCGUCUGCGUAACCAAAAUCAUUUUAGUCAAUUUCUUUAGCAACUUAGAAAAAUUUUAGUCAAUUUAAAUCACUUUUUCAUGAUUUUCAACCAAUUUUAGUCAAUUUCUUUAGCAACUUCGACAAAUUUUAGUCAUAUAAAAUGUCAUUAAACAGUCUUAAA